UACGUAGGGUGCAAGCGUUAAUCGGAAUUACUGGGCGUAAAGCGUGCGCAGGCGGUUUUGUAAGUCUGUUGUGAAAUCCCCGGGCUCAACCUGGGAAUGGACAAUGGAGACUGCAAGGCUAGAGUUUGGCAGAGGGGGGUAGAAUUCCACGUGUAGCAGUGAAAUGCGUAGAUAUGUGGAGGAAGCACCGAUGGCGAAGGCAGCCCCCUGGGUCAAAACUGACGCUCAUGCACGAAAGCGUGGGGAGCAAACAGG
rnacentral:rRNA from 1 species